rnacentral:rRNA from 1 species
GAAUAUUGGACAAUGGGCGAAAGCCUGAUCCAGCCAUGCCGCGUGUGUGAAGACGGUCUUCGGAUUGUAAAGCUCUUUAAGUCGGGAGGAAGGGCAGUAAGUUAAUACCUUGCUGUUUCGACGUUACCGUCAGAAUAAGCACCGGCUAACUUCGUGCCAGCAGCCGCGGUAACACGAAGGGUGCAAGCGUUAAUCGGAAUUACUGGGCGUAAAGCGCGCGUAGGUGGUUUGUUAAGUUGGAAGUGAAAGCCCCGGGCUCAACCUGGGAACUGCUUUCAAAACUGGCAAGCUAGAGUACGGUAGAGGGUAGUGGAAUUUCCUGUGUAGCGGUGAAAUGCGUAGAUAUAGGAAGGAACACCAGUGGCGAAGGCGACUACCUGGACUGAUACUGACACUGAGGUGCGAAAGCGUGGGGAGCAAAC